ACUCCUCGACCUCCUUUCGCUUAGUGACUGUUUCUCUUCAGCGUGGGGCUCAUCGGCUGUUACUUGUCCACGCCUCCCUCUUCUCGUCCCUCUGGUUUUUAUGGGUUUAUGAGGUCUCCGCCAUUAGAUUGGAGGGGAAGAAUUUCGUGUUAAGCACUUAAGAGUGUUAGACAGUUAAGAUUUAGGGCAAGCCUGGAGACCUGGACUUUAUUCUGUAGGUGACAAAGCAGGCUGGAGAGGUUAGGGGAUGUACUCAAAGCUGUACUGCUGAGGAAUUUACCCAACCCCACAAGCCCUUAUCUCUACUUCAAAGCGGUAGAUCAUGACCCCUAAGUAGCCUCUUAAUCUGCCAUCACCACGUAGAACAGUAUAUUGUUUAUUAAAUAAUUGUAGCAGCAGUUAUUGAGUGCCUAUUUGUGAGGUACUGUUACAUAAAAGCUUUAAGGUCUCCAUUUAAUACAGCUACAGUGCAGAUUACAGAUGAGGAAACUGAGGCGCACUGAACGGGCUCAACAUCAUACAACUAAAAGUAAUGGAGACGAGCUUCAAACCCAGGUUAUACUUUACAUUCUUGAAAAUACAAGGAUGUGCAUAUUGACCCAAAUCAAGAUUACUCAUUGCUGCAUUGUUUUUUAAUAAUAAAAGAAUGAAAACAACCUACGUGUUAGCAAGACCCAACUGAUUAAAUAAAUUGUAAACGGACUACAGAA